GAUGAAGAACGUAGCGAAAUGCGAUAAGUAGUGUGAAUUGCAGAAUUCAGUGAAUCAUCGAAUCUUUGAACGCACAUUGCGCCCCUUGGUAUUCCAUGGGGCAUGCCUGUUCGAGCGUCAUCUUAACCCUCAAGCACUGCUUGGUGAUGGGCGUCUGUCCCGCCUCUGCGCGCGGACUCGCCCCAAAGGCAUUGGCAGCGGUCCCGUCCGCCUCUCGCGCAGCACAGAUGCGCUUCUUGAGGCAUCGGGCCCGCGUCCAUGAAGCUCAUUUACCACGUUUGACCUCGGAUCAGGUAGGGAUACCCGCUGAACUUAAGCAUAUCAAUAAGCGGAGGA
rnacentral:misc_RNA from 1 species